GCUGUUCAUUUCUGUGUGGGAAUUUCCAUCAAAAUUAUUAAUACCAGGUUUUUGUUCGCUGUGAGAAAACUCCUCAUGUCAUACUCACUUAGUGCAAUCGGUCAACUGCAAUUCCUGUGAGUGUAAUUCUUCCUUAAAUUCAAUUCAAUUCAGGGCCUCUGAACUACAGUUGGAGCCCAAAUCAAAGCGGUUCCAUCUGCUGGCUUUUAUUCUCCUUCAUGGUUUUGUUUGUGGGAGUUGUACUAAAAAAAAGAAACUUAAUUUCUGUCAUUCCUUUAUUCUGCCUCUCAUUUUCUGCAUCUGCAAUACAACUGCCUCAUAUUUUCUUAUGCAAAUACCCGAGGCACUUGCAUUUCUAGAGCAAAAUGAAACGUGACUAAAUGACUCAAGAAAAGAGUUUGAAAAAACUAAUGAGAGAGUGGGAGCAGGGCUGGAGUGGAUGGCACAGGACCUGGAUACUCGCAUUUUGUAACGCUGAACAGGAGCGGGCACUGGGGAUAAGCCUGUGGAGAGUUGGAGAGCUGGAAUACAACCAACUUGGGUUUUGGACAUUUCACUAACGUGAGAGGAGAGCAGCUGUGAGAAAGCAGCAGACACACAGGCCAGUCCUGAUGGCAGGUGCUUGGGGGUCAGCCUGCACUGGACUCUGGCUCUAGCAGCCCACUGGGCCCUCACUUCAACUCUGAACAUUUCACAGGUCAGUGAGCAGAGAUAUGUACUGUAUACACUCACACACUGGUCUGGAAUGCAUCUCUGAGUCAAUAUCUUUUAUUAUUAAAUUAAUAAUAUUAUUCAGCAAGCAUGCAUUAAAUUGAUCAAAACUGACAGUAGAGACUUUUCAAGACAAACAAUUUUUUUUUUACCAUUUUAUGUUUUGGCAAAUUAUAUUAGUUUAUAAAAUUCAUAAGUUUUUGUAUGAUCUGCCCCACUGAUGGUUAUGUUUAAGGGUAGACGUUCAUUAUAAAAGUAUGUUUACAUAACAACGAUGUACUAAAAACAGAAAUGUUUUUCCUUCAUGCUUUUUUUUUAAAGUUUUGCAUACUGUACAGCCGAAAAUGUUAUCAAAGUGUUUCACUUUCACAAGGAUCUGCAAAAAUAAUUGAAAAUACUGUAUGAUUCAUGCCAGGCCAGUAGUUGGCGAUGUCACUUUACACAGAAACACUACGCGCCUAUAGACUGAACACAUAAUACGCUGAUGUCACCAUUUUCACAAAUCUGCAUUUUUGUUGUUUACACAGAGAUGAUAACGGUAUCUUUUUUGAAAAACUUGCACUUUGAAAUCCGUUUUUCAAAAGCUUGUGUUUUUAGGCUCCAAAACACUGUCAUUAGCUCAAAACAGUGUUGUGCAAAGACCCCCUAAAAAUCAUAUGUUUUCAUAUGAUUCAAAUCAAACAAAUUUAUACAAAAUUGACUUUGUAAAAUAGUUACUUUUUCCCAUGAAAUUGGUUUGGAAUUUUACAUUCUUAGAAACAUCUUUUUUAAAUAAAUGUUGUUCUUUUGAAGUUUAGGUGUUAAUAAUAAGAAACAUAUCAGCAUAUUAGAGUGAUUUCUGAAGAAUCAUGUGAUGAUGCUGAAAAUUCAGCUUUGCCAUCAUAUGAAUAAAUUACAUUAUAAAAUAUAGUCAAAUAGAAGACAGUAAUUUUAAUUUGUAAUAAUAUUUCAUAAUUUUACUGUUUUUGAAUUGUAAUGUAAAUGUAAUUAAAAGUUAUUUAAUUUUAAUUUAAUUCAGCCUAAAUAAAUGUCUUGAUUUAAAUAUGUCAAUUAUUUUGGUUUCGUAAUAGUCAUUAAAAUAAUCUCAACAUAAAAAAAAAAAAAUGCUUCAUGUUUUGUAUUUUUUUUCCCUUAAGAUUUUUGGGUGAAAUAUGCCCUGGACAGGUUUUCGAAAGCUUUCGUGAAACUCAUACUGAUGUCAGAUUAUUCAUGCAUAGCUCAGUAAUAUCUUCCAUAUGAGCAGUUCUCUAUACCUGCUGCGAUUUUAAACAGCCAGUUUCUAAAAAUUUUAGAGAUGCACAUUUCCAUGUAGUUGAUUGUCUUAAAUGUCUCUU
ensembl:lncRNA